rnacentral:rRNA from 1 species
UGGGGAAUCUUGCGCAAUGGGCGAAAGCCUGACGCAGCGACGCCGCGUGCGGGAAGAAGGCCUUCGGGUUGUAAACCGCUUUCAGGAGGGACGAAGCCACUCGGGUUAAUAGCCCAGAGGGUGACGGUACCUCCAGAAGAAGCCCCGGCUAACUACGUGCCAGCAGCCGCGGUAAUACGUAGGGGGCAAGCGUUGUCCGGAUUCAUUGGGCGUAAAGAGCGUGUAGGCGGCCAGGUAGGUCGGUUGUGAAAACUGGAGGCUCAACCUUCAGACGUCGACCGAAACCAUCUGGCUAGAGUCCGGGAGAGGAGAGUGGAAUUCCUGGUGUAGCGGUGAAAUGCGCAGAUAUCAGGAAGAACACCCGUGGCGAAAGCGGCUCUCUGGAACGGUACUGACGCUGAGACGCGAAAGCGUGGGGAGCGAACAGGAUUAGAUACCCUGGUAGUCCACGCCGUAAACGAUGGGGCGUCGUAGGUGGUGGGAGGUGGUCGACCUUCCGUUCCGUCGACCGAA